ACUCAAAUGAAUUGACGGGGGCCCGCACAAGCGGUGGAGCAUGUGGUUUAAUUCGAUGCAACGCGAAGAACCUUACCUACUCUUGACAUCCAGAGAAGCCAGCGGAGACGCAGGUGUGCCUUCGGGAACUCUGAGACAGGUGCUGCAUGGCUGUCGUCAGCUCGUGUUGUGAAAUGUUGGGUUAAGUCCCGCAACGAGCGCAACCCUUAUCCUUGUUUGCCAGCGAGUAAUGUCGGGAACUCCAGGGAGACUGCCGGUGAUAAACCGGAGGAAGGUGGGGACGACGUCAAGUCAUCAUGGCCCUUACGAGUAGGGCUACACACGUGCUACAAUGGCGCAUACAGAGGGCAGCAAGCUAGCGAUAGUGAGCGAAUCCCAAAAAGUGCGUCGUAGUCCGGAUUGGAGUCUGCAACUCGACUCCAUGAAGUCGGAAUCGCUAGUAAUCGUGAAUCAGAAUGUCACGGUGAAUACGUUCCCGGGCCUUGUACACACCGCCCGUCACACCAUGGGAGUGGGCUGCAAAAGAAGUGGGUAGUUUAACCUUUCGGGGAGGACGCUCACCACUUUGUGGUUCAUGACUGGGGUGAAGUCGUAACAAGGUAGCCCUAGGGGAACCUGGGGCUGGAUCACCUCCUUA
rnacentral:rRNA from 1 species